rnacentral:rRNA from 1 species
UACGUAGGGUGCAAGCGUUAUCCGGAAUUACUGGGUGUAAAGGGUGAGUAGGCGGCAUACUAAGCCAUAUGUGAAAUGCACAGGCUUAACCUGUGAACUGCAUAAGGAACUGGUAAGCUAGAGUACAGGAGAGGUAAGCGGAAUUCCUAGUGUAGCGGUGAAAUGCGUAGAUAUUAGGAAGAACACCAGUGGCGAAGGCGGCUUACUGGACUGAAACUGACGCUGAGUCACGAAAGCGUGGGGAGCGAACAGG